GUACUUACAUCGGCAGCACCUGUACCAAAAUCAGAAUGAUACAGAGAAGAUGAGCAUGGCCCCUGUGCGAGGAUGAUACUCAAAUUCAUGAUGCAGUCCAUAUUUAA
ensembl:snRNA U6 U6 spliceosomal RNA